UAAGCAGUGUCGGGCCUGGUUAGCACUUGGAUGGGAGACCAUCUGGGAAUAUCGGGUGCUGUAGGCUUGGCCGGGCACGGUGGCUUACG
rnacentral:precursor_RNA from 1 species